rnacentral:rRNA from 1 species
UGUUCUUGAAACCCAAAGAAUUUGGCGGUGUUUUAGUCUAUUUAGAGGAAUUUGCCCCUUUAUCGAUAACCCCCGUUUUAUCUUACUUAUUUUGUUUUAGUUUGUAUAUCGCCGUUAUAAGUUUAUUUUUUAAGAAUUUUAAUUUACUUAGAAUUUUAUUUUAUAUUAUUUCAGGUCAAGGUGCAGUUUAUAUUUAAGUGGUGGUGCAUUACAAUAUUAUUUAUAUAAACGGAUUUUUAUUUUAAAAUUUAAUUGAAGGUGGAUUUAAUAGUAAUUUUAAUUAUAGUGUUAAUUUGACUUUAGCUCUAAAAUAAGUACACAUCGCCCGUCGCU